rnacentral:rRNA from 1 species
AACGAUCGCUGGCGGCAUGCCUAACACAUGCAAGUCGAACGAGACCUUCGGGUCUAGUGGCGCACGGGUGCGUAACGCGUGGGAACCUGCCCUUAGGUUCGGAAUAACUCCCCGAAAGGGGUGCUAAUACCGGAUAAUGUCUUCGGACCAAAGAUUUAUCGCCUUUGGAUGGGCCCGCGUUGGUUUAGCUAGUUGGUAGGGUAAAAGCCUACCAAGGCGACGAUCCAUAGCUGGUCUGAGAGGAUGAUCAGCCACACUGGUACUGAGACACGGCCCAGACGCCUACGGGAGGCAGCAGUGGGGAAUAUUGGACAAUGGGCGAAAGCCUGAUCCAGCAAUGCCGCGUGAGUGAUGAAGGCCUUAGGGUUGUAAAGCUCUUUUACCCGGGAUGAUAAUGACAGUACCGGGAGAAUAAGCUCCGGCUAACUCCGUG